UGGGGAAUAUUGCGCAAUGGGCGAAAGCCUGACGCAGCAACGCCGCGUGAGGGAUGACGGCCUUCGGGUUGUAAACCUCUUUCAGCGGGGACGAAGCGAAAGUGACUGUACCCGCAGAAGAAGCGCCGGCUAACUACGUGCCAGCAGCCGCGGUAAUACGUAGGGCGCAAGCGUUGUCCGGAUUUAUUGGGCGUAAAGAGCUCGUAGGCGGUCUGUCGCGUCGGAUGUGAAAACCCGGAACUCAACUCCGGGCCUGCAUUCGAUACGGGCAGACUUGAGUACUGCAGGGGAGACUGGAAUUCCUGGUGUAGCGGUGGAAUGCGCAGAUAUCAGGAGGAACACCGGUGGCGAAGGCGGGUCUCUGGGCAGAAACUGACGCUGAGGAGCGAAAGCGUGGGGAGCGAACA
rnacentral:rRNA from 1 species